rnacentral:tRNA from 1 species
GCCCGGGUGGCGGAAUUGGUAGACGCACCAGCUUGAGGGGCUGGCGGUCGCAAGACCAUGCAGGUUCGAGUCCUGUCCCGGGCA